GACGAACGCUGGCGGCGUGGAUUAGGCAUGCAAGUCGAACGGUAUAAACCUUUCGGGGUUUAGAGAGUGGCGAACGGGUGAGUAACACGUAGGUAAUCUACCCUCAAAACGGGGACAACCCAGGGAAACUUGGGCUAAUACCGGAUGCGUGCAAGCAAUGUUUUGGCUGUUAAUGCUAUUCACGGAAGUGAGUAGUGUUAAUGGUUGAGAGCAUUAUUUGCAUAAAAGGUGGCAUAUGCUGCCGUUUGAGGAUGAGCCUGCGUCCUAUUAGUUAGUUGGUGAGGUAAUGGCUUACCAAGGCGAUGAUAGGUAGGCGGCCUUAACGGGUGGUCGCCCACACUGGGAUUGAGACACGGCCCAGACUCCUACGGGAGGCAGCAGUUGGGAAUCUUCGGCAAUGGGCGCAAGCCUGACCGAGCAACGCCGCGUGAGUGAUGAAGGUUUUCGGAUUGUAAAGCUCUGUCUUCCGGGACGAUAAUGACGGUACCGGAGGAGGAAGCCACGGCUAACUACGUGCC
rnacentral:rRNA from 1 species